GGUUGUGAGGGCAAUCUGAUGAUGACAUGGGGCUCCCCAUUGAUCCUGGGGUUUAUCAGACUGAUCUGAUGGAUAGGCAAGUGUUCCUUUUCACCCUCUCUGCUUUACAUGCACACUUAAUAGAAAAGGACAACCUUCCCUGAGAGAAAUGUCCUCCUUUUUUCAAGGGUAAAGGCAGUAUCUUUAAUCAAAAAAGAUUCACCAUGCUAACUGAUGAAGAAAUGAAAUUUUUUACCUGAUUAAAAACAAAAUCUUUUUUU
rnacentral:snRNA from 1 species